CCUUAGUAUAAGAAUGUAAUAGUCUCUUAAUUGAGCAUAAAUAAAAACAAAACUUUCAGCAACGGAUCUCUUGGCUCUCGCAUCGAUGAAGAACGCAGCGAAUUGCGAUAAGUAAUGUGAAUUGCAGAAUUCAGUGAAUCAUCGAAUCUUUGAACGCACCUUGCACUCUUUGGUAUUCCGAAGAGUAUGUCUGUUUGAGUGUCAUGAAACUCUCAACCCCCCUAUUUUGUAAUGAGAUGGGCGUGGGCUUGGAUUAUGGUUGUCUGUUGGCGUAAUUGCCGGCUCAACUGAAAUACACGAGCAACCCUACUGAAAUAAACGGUUUGACUUGGCGUAAUAAUUAUUUCGCUAAGGACGUUUUCUUCAUUUAUAAGAGGUGCUUCUAAUUCGCUUCUAAUAGCAUUUAAGCUUUAGACCUCAAAUCAGUCAGGACUACCCGCUGAACUUAAGCAUAUCAA
rnacentral:rRNA from 1 species